rnacentral:rRNA from 1 species
UACGGAGGGUGCAAGCGUUGCUCGGAAUUAUUGGGCGUAAAGGGUACGUAGGUGGUCUUAUUUGUCUAGGGUGAAAGCCUUGAGCUUAACUCAAGAAGUGCCCUAGAAACGGUAAGACUAGAGUCCUGGAGAGGGUCGUGGAAUUCCCGGUGUAGCGGUGAAAUGCGUAGAGAUCGGGAGGAACACCAGAGGCGAAGGCGGCGACCUGGACAGGCACUGACACUCAACUGCGAAAGCGUGGGGAGCAAACAGG